CCUACGGGUGGCAGCAGUGAGGAAUAUUGGUCAAUGGUCGCGAGACUGAACCAGCCAAGUAGCGUGAGGGAUGACUGUACUAAGUAUUGUAAACUUCUUUUAUCAGGGAAUAAAGAGUGGGACGUGUGCCUUUUUGUGUGUACCUUAAGAAAAAGCAUCGGCUAACUCCGUGCCAGCAGCCGCGGUAAUACGGAGGAUCCGAGCGUUAUCCGGAUUUAUUGGGUUUAAAGGGAGCGCAGGGGGGUUGUUAAGUCAGUUGUGAAAGUGUGGGGCUCAACCCUAGAAGUGCAGUUGAUACUGGCAGCCGUGAGUAGAGUAGAGGUAGGCGGAAUUCGCGGUGUAGCGGUGAAAUGCUUAGAUAUCGCGAAGAACUCCGAUUGCGAAGGCAGCUUGC
rnacentral:rRNA from 1 species